rnacentral:rRNA from 1 species
CCUACGGGCGGCAGCAGUGAGGAAUAUUGGUCAAUGGACGAUAGUCUGAACCAACCAAGUAGCGUGAAGGAUGACUGCCCUAUGGGUUGUAAACUUCUUUUAUAUGGGAAUAAAAUGUUCCACGUGUGGGAUUUUGUAUGUACCAUAUGAAUAAGGAUCGGCUAACUCCGUGCCAGCAGCCGCGGUAAUACGGAGGAUCCGAGCGUUAUCCGGAUUUAUUGGGUUUAAAGGGAGCGUAGGUGGAUUGUUAAGUCAGUUGUGAAAGUUUGCGGCUCAACCGUAAAAUUGCAGUUGAAACUGGCAGUCUGGAGUACAGUAGAGGUGGGCGGAAUUAGUGGUGUAGCGGUGAAAUGCUUAGAUAUCACGAAGAACUCCGAUUGCGAAGGCAGCUCACUGGACUGCAACUGACACUGAGGCUCGAAAGUGUGGGUAUCAAACAGGAUUAGAUACCCUUGUAGUC